rnacentral:rRNA from 1 species
AUUGAACGCUGGCGGCAGGCCUAACACAUGCAAGUCGAGCGGAUGAAGGGAGCUUGCUCCUGGAUUCAGCGGCGGACGGGUGAGUAAUGCCUAGGAAUCUGCCUGGUAGUGGGGGAUAACGUCCGGAAACGGGCGCUAAUACCGCAUACGUCCUGAGGGAGAAAGUGGGGGAUCUUCGGACCUCACGCUAUCAGAUGAGCCUAGGUCGGAUUAGCUAGUUGGUGGGGUAAAGGCCUACCAAGGCGACGAUCCGUAACUGGUCUGAGAGGAUGAUCAGUCACACUGGAACUGAGACACGGUCCAGACUCCUACGGGAGGCAGCAGUGGGGAAUACUGGAUAAUGGGCGAAAGCCUGAUCCAGCCAUGCCGCGUGUGUGAAGAAGGUCUUCGGAUUGUAAAGCACUUUAAGUUGGGAGGAAGGGCAGUAAGUUAAUACCUUGCUGUUUUGACGUUACCAACAGAAUAAGCACCGGCUAACUUCGUG